GACGAACGCGGGCGGCGUGCCUAAUACAUGCAAGUCGAACGCACGAAGUUGAAGAGCUUGCUCUUUAACCAAGUGAGUGGCGGACGGGUGAGCAACACGUGGGUAACCUACCCAUUAGAGGGGGAUAACAUUCGGAAACGGAUGCUAAUACCGCAUAGUUUCAGGAAUCGCAUGAUUCGUGAAGGAAAGGUGGCUUCGGCUACCACUAAUGGAUGGACCCGCGGCGUAUUAGCUAGUUGGUGAGGUAAUGGCUCACCAAGGCAAUGAUACGUAGCCGACCUGAGAGGGUGAUCGGCCACACUGGGACUGAGACACGGCCCAGACUCCUACGGGAGGCAGCAGUAGGGAAUCUUCCGCAAUGGACGAAAGUCUGACGGAGCAACGCCGCGUGAGUGAAGAAGGUUUUCGGAUCGUAAAACUCUGUUGUUAAAGAAGAACAAGGAUGAGAGUAACUGCUCAUCCCCUGACGGUAUUUAACCAGAAAGCCACGGCUAACUACGUGCCAGCAGCCGCGGUAAUACGUAGGUGGCAAGCGUUGUCCGGAUUUAUUGGGCGUAAAGCGAGCGCAGGCGGUUCUUUAAGUCUGAUGUGAAAGCCCCCGGCUCAACCGGGGAGGGUCAUUGGAAACUGGAGAACUUGAGUGCAGAAGAGGAGAGUGGAAUUCCACGUGUAGCGGUGAAAUGCGUAGAUAUGUGGAGGAACACCAGUGGCGAAGGCGACUCUCUGGUCUGUAACUGACGCUGAGGCUCGAAAGCGUGGGGAGCAAACAGG
rnacentral:rRNA from 1 species